CAGUCAGAGGAAGAAAGUCUUGUAUCCUUUAAAACCAAUGUGUUAAAACAAAAGAAGGUCUUGGAAAAAGAUCUGGUAAAAAAACUUAUGUCACUAAAUAGCAUAACUAAAAAAUCAUCUGCUAAUUGCAAAGCCAAAAUGAGCAUUUGGAACGAACAUUCUGUUUCAAUCUCAGUAGCAUUUGCAAACCAUGUUCUGUGCUCUCUGGCUAAUAUUGGAAAGUCUGAGUGGCUUAUUAUUUUUUUUCCUCCGUAAGGAUGCAAAAUACGUAACCUCUGAGCUGAAAGGAGCUAAUCAUACUGUGUUUAGUCAGUCCUGAAUGAAAGAACAGCUCAGAAGAGGGAAAAGAUAUUGAUCUCAAAACAGUGGGGAGAAAAAAGGAGAAGUUUCAAGUGGAUCAUAGUCUUUUUUUGGUCUUUCUACAUCACCAGUGAUUUAUUAAUUCAAUAAUUUUGAUAAUUUAAAUACUGCAACAAAUGUCUUAUGCUUUUGCACAGACUUUUCUAUGGAACUGAUAUGAUAUUAUUUUGUACCCAAUUAUUCCCAGACAUCUUGCAAUAAAGCGCCCUGGCAAGAAAUAUGCAUUAAGAGAUGCUGGAAAAAGAAUUACCGGGGUCCAGACACAGAAGGUUUCACAGAGCAUGGAGCCUGUAGAUUUUUCCAACAAUAAAUUGACCUGUCUUGGAAAUGGAUUUUGUGCAUUCAAACCUGGAAAAUGAUGCACUUUAAGUCUACGGUGGCACAGUGCCUGUCUCUAUAGUGAGGAGCACAGGAGGAGCUGGCAAUUUUUCUCAGAAUUGUGGGAGUAUUUUGUAAACAAGCUUUAUCCCUUCCCUUUGAGAAACAGCUGUCAAGAUAUAAUGGAAUGUUUAUGAACAUUGUUUUAAACUUUAAGUAGAUUUAUUAAAUUAUUUCAAUUCAUAGUGGAUUUUGUUGUGUUCUUUGUUUGUAGGCUGACAGUUUCUGUCACCUGUGCUUGUGGCUCAUAAGUGAUAUGAAUACUCUGUACUACACUGAAAAUUGCAACCAUUUCUGUGUGAACAUGGGAUAUAUUUUCAAAGAAAUGGACAGAAGAUUGACAUGAUGAACAGAAGUAAAUAAAGCUUUUGAGCUUACCCUUGACAUUUAAA